AGUGAACGCUGGCGGCAGGCCUAACACAUGCAAGUCGAACGGUAACAGGAAGAAGCUUGCUUCUUUGCUGACGAGUGGCGGACGGGGGAGUAAUGUCUGGGAAACUGCCUGAUUUAGGGGGAGAACUACUGGGAACGGUAGCUAAUACCGCAUAACGUCCCAAGACCAAAAAGGGGGACCUUCGCGCCUCUUGCCCUCGGAUGUGCCCAGAUGGGAUUAGCUAGUAGGUGGGGUAACGGCUCACCUAGGCGACGAUCCCUAGCUGGUCUGAGAGGAUGAGCAGCCACACUGGAACUGAGACACGGUCCAGACUCCUACGGGAGGCAGCAGUGGGGAAUAUUGCACAAUGGGCGCAAGCCUGAUGCAGCCAUGCCGCGUGUAUGAAGAAGGCCUUCGGGUUGUAAAGUACUUUCAGCGGGGAGGAAGGGAGUAAAGUUAAUACCUUGGCUCAUUGACGUUACCCGAAGAAGAAGCACCGGCUAACUCCGUG
rnacentral:rRNA from 1 species